CAUAGGUUAAUGAGGCGAACCGGGGGAACUGAAACAUCUAAGUACCCCGAGGAAAAGAAAUCAACCGAGAUUCCCCCAGUAGCGGCGAGCGAACGGGGAGCAGCCCAGAGCCUGAAUCAGUGUGUGUGUUAGUGGAAGCGUCUGGAAAGGCGCGCGAUACAGGGUGACAGCCCCGUACACAAAAAUGCACAUACUGUGAGCUCGAUGAGUAGGGCGGGACACGUGGUAUCCUGUCUGAAUAUGGGGGGACCAUCCUCCAAGGCUAAAUACUCCUGACUGACCGAUAGUGAACCAGUACCGUGAGGGAAAGGCGAAAAGAACCCCGGCGAGGGGAGUGAAAAAGAACCUGAAACCGUGUACGUACAAGCAGUGGGAGCACGCUUAGGCGUGUGACUGCGUACCUUUUGUAUAAUGGGUCAGCGACUUAUAUUCUGUAGCAAGGUUAACCGAAUAGGGGAGCCGAAGGGAAACCGAGUCUUAACUGGGCGUUAAGUUGCAGGGUAUAGACCCGAAACCCGGUGAUCUAGCCAUGGGCAGGUUGAAGGUUGGGUAACACUAACUGGAGGACCGAACCGACUAAUGUUGAAAAAUUAGCGGAUGACUUGUGGCUGGGGGUGAAAGGCCAAUCAAACCGGGAGAUAGCUGGUUCUCCCCGAAAGCUAUUUAGGUAGCGCCUCGUGAAUUCAUCUCCGGGGGUAGAGCACUGUUUCGGCAAGGGGGUCAUCCCGACUUACCAACCCGAUGCAAACUGCGAAUACCGGAGAAUGUUAUCACGGGAGACACACGGCGGGUGCUAACGUCCGUCGUGAAGAGGGAAACAACCCAGACCGCCAGCUAAGGUCCCAAAGUCAUGGUUAAGUGGGAAACGAUGUGGGAAGGCCCAGACAGCCAGGAUGUUGGCUUAGAAGCAGCCAUCAUUUAAAGAAAGCGUAAUAGCUCACUGGUCGAGUCGGCCUGCGCGGAAGAUGUAACGGGGCUAAACCAUGCACCGAAGCUGCGGCAGCGACGCUGAUGCGUUGUUGGGUAGGGGAGCGUUCUGUAAGCCUGUGAAGGUGUGCUGUGAGGCAUGCUGGAGGUAUCAGAAGUGCGAAUGCUGACAUAAGUAACGAUAAAGCGGGUGAAAAGCCCGCUCGCCGGAAGACCAAGGGUUCCUGUCCAACGUUAAUCGGGGCAGGGUGAGUCGACCCCUAAGGCGAGGCCGAAAGGCGUAGUCGAUGGGAAACAGGUUAAUAUUCCUGUACUUGGUGUUACUGCGAAGGGGGGACGGAGAA
rnacentral:rRNA from 1 species